CCUUGUGCUGUCUGGCUGUUACCCCCUCCCCUGUACCCGGACCCUAACCCCCACCUCGUACCCCCAGACCAACCGCUGCUGUGGAACUGAAAUAAUGAUUUGAAUGAACUGAGAAACUUAUCCUUAUUUUAGAUUUGUGUUUUCUCUUUAAAAACGAAACAUAGUAUGGCAUAUGUUUUUGGUUUUCUAGACCUGGUAAAAAAUGAUUUUAUGACUACCGCCAGCUGCAACAGAAUACCAUCCCGGGUACCAUGUUUGUCUCUGCUGCCAGUAUGAAGGAGGUCAGAGGUAGUUUCACAAGUCAAUGCUAACUAAUUAAAUGAUUUUAUGACUACUGCCAGCUGCAACAGAAUACCAUCCCGGGUACCAUGUUUGUCUCUGCUGCCAGUAUGAAGGAGGUCAGAGGUAGUUUCACAAGUCAAUGCUAACUAGCGUUACAGGAACAGUUAGUAUGCUAGCUGUUCCUGUUAAUCUGACGACUAAAGUCAAUAGACUGUUAGUUUACACGUCCUCUUGCAAUUAAAUGUAGGUCGUUUCAUUAUUUUGAACGGUCUACCAAAUCUAUUCAUUUUAAAAUGUUGAUUUUACUUCUGCUUGCUAUUUAUUAUUUACGCGAUGAUAUAAGACGUGACUUUUCAAUGUUUCUGCUAACAUAUGAUGGGGGUCCCUUUUGUCGCUGAUUUGCCUGGGUGGGGGUCUCUGGGUCAUGGGUUUGCCUGGGUGGGGGUCCCUGGGUCACUGGUUUGCCUGGGCGGGGAUCUUUGGGUCAUGGGUUUGUUUGCCUGGCGGGGGUCUCUGGCUCAUGGGUUUGCCUGGGUCAUGGGUUUGCCCGGGUCAUGGGGGGUCUCUGGGUGUGCCUGGGCGGGGGCUGUAACAGCAGAACUGUCUUCAAUGGCCCACUAUUCACUACAGGACACUACUUCAAUGGCGCCCUAUUCACUACAGGACACUACUUCAAUGGCCCCCUAUUCACUACAGGACACUAGUGGCCAGGGCCUGUAGACGGACCGUUUCAGGACAGAUCCAGGAACAUUGGAACAGGCGGAUGGAGAAGCAAACCACUGAUCUGAUUAGUAUCUUGGUCAGAAUGACUGGAUUGACCAACAUGUGGCUCUGAUAUGGAACCCUAUUCCCUAUAUAGUGCUCUGCUUUUUGACGCUGUAGUGCCUUAUCUAGGGAAUAGGGUGCCAUUUUUGAUGCGCACUUUGAAACCUAAGAUAUAACAGCUGUGUGUGUGUGUGUGUGUGUGUACAGUAUAAAUACAAAGAAAGAGAACUAUUUUAAAAUACAUAGGACAUUGCUGUUUAGCAUUUUCUAUUUAAAUAUUUAUUUUUUUAGAUAUCGUACUAAUGCUAUAUUGACAUGCAUAUAAAUGUGUACAUGUGGCAUUACCAGAUAUUGCGGUAACACUCGACACCCAGCGUUAUAGCAUGUUAUGAUGCUGGCGUAACCAUCUCAUAACUGUUGUCACAACACUCAAAUGUAUAUUUACACAUGUGACAUGUUGUUACUUUAUAGCUGGUUAGGACACCUGCCAUAAGUGUCCAAACCAACAUUUAUUAAAAUGUGUUUUCUCUGCCAAGAAGUUUCCUUUCGUUUCAACGUUUGUUUCUUUAAGUCCUUUGUUGUAAUGAAGUCUUCAGUCAUUUUGUUUUUUAAAAUGUUAAAUAACUCGUAGAAAAUAUACAGUAUAACACUAUCAUGAAGUAUUAUGUCUCUUUAUGACACUAUCAUGAAGUAUUAUGUCUCUUUAUAACACUGGUAUGAAGCAUUACGACCACCAUCAUCAUAUAAGCCAGAUAGACCUAUCAGCUACAUGACCUUAUGUCAGUCAUCAGUCACAUAGAGGGGUCUUGUCCUGCUCCUGCAUCCAUCCCAGUCAUCAGUCACAUAGAGGGGGUCUUGUCCUGCUCCUGCAUUCAUCCCAGUCAUCAGUCACAUAGAGAGGGUCAUGUCCUGCUCCUGCAUUCAUCCCAGUCAUCAGAAACAGAGCAUUGGGCGGUGUAGGUGCAUGUCUGACAUCAAUGUGUAUGAGAUUACAAUGAUUAAUUUAAUAGGUCAAUCUAAGAAAAUGCUAUGUCACAUUUAACAUACUGUUGACCAGUAGGCUGAUGGACUGGAAUGAUUUGCCUUGUUCGUUUGGACCCUUGUGGAGGUGUUAUAACCAGCCAUAAAAUAACACAAUAUGUCACAACAGUGUUAUGAACAUGUUAUGACACUGGGUGUCAAGUAUCGAUAUUUCUAAAUAGGUGAUUGGAAAUAGGUGUUACAUAUUGAAUAAAAUGACCACUGGAUUAUUGACUUGCGCAUCGGGGGUGUGUUCAUUAGGCGAGACCGACUUGCGCAUCGGGGUUGUGUUCAUUAGGCUACGCCGACUUGCGCAUCGGGGUUGUGUUCAUUAGGCUACACCGACUUGCGCAGCGGGGUGUGUUCAUUAGGCGAGGCCGACUUGCGCAGUGGGGGUGUGUUCAUUAGGCGACGCAGACUUGGGCAGCGGGGGUGUGUUCAUUAGGCGACGCAGACUUGGGCAGCAGGGGUGUGUUCAUUAGGCGACGCAGACUUGGNNNNNNNNNNNNNNNNNNNNNNNNNNNNNNNNNNNNNNNNNNNNNNNNNNNNNNNNNNNNNNNNNNNNNNGAGACUUGGCUCUAGGCUGCUCUGGGGCACAGGACCUGCUACGCAAAGGUGAGACUUGCGAGGGAGACUUGGCUCUAGGCUGCUCUGGGGCACAGGACCUGCUACGCAACGGUGAGACUUGCGAGGGAGACUUGGCUCUAGGCUGCUCUGGGGCACAGGACCUGCUACGCAAAGGUGAGACUUGGCUCUAGGCUGCUCUGGGGCACAGGACCAGGUUUACGCUUCACUGCAGUGUUUCUAAUGACUUCACAGAUGUGGUUCGGCUGUUAUGCCUUCAUCAGGGAGUGAAUCGGGGAUGUCAACGAAUGGCCCGUUUUAACUCUUAAGUGGCUUAAAUCCCAUUAACGGGACCGAUUUGGCAACAUCCGGUGAAAUGGCAGAGCGCCAAAUUCAAAAAGAAAUAUAACAAAUAUUUAACUUUCAUACAUUCACAAGAGCAAACCACACCCCCACACCAAACCACAC
rnacentral:lncRNA from 13 species